rnacentral:sRNA from 1 species
CACUAAAGGGAACUACUUAGCCGCUUCGGUCGGGCUGUUGAUCACGCCGAGCAGGUCGGCACC